GAUGAACGCUGGCGGCGUGCUUAACACAUGCAAGUCGAACGAUGAAGCCCAGCUUUCUUGGUGUAUUCGUGGCGCACGGGUGAGUAACACGUGAGUAACCUGCCCUUGUCUCUGUGAUAAACCUUGGAAACUGUGUCUCAUACUGCAUAUGACUUCUCAUCGCAUGGUGUGGGGUGGAAAGAUUUAGUGGUCUUGGAUGGACUCGCGGCCUAUCAGCUUGUUGGUGUGGUAGUGGCUCACCAAGGCGACGACGGGUAGCCGGCCUGAGAGGGUGACCGGCCACACUGGGACUGAGACACGGCCCAGACUCCUACGGGAGGCAGCAGUGGGGAAUAUUGCACAAUGGGCGGAAGCCUGAUGCAGCGACGCCGCGUGAGGGAUGACGGUCUUCGGGUUGUAAACCGCUUUCAGUAGGGAAGAAGCGAGAGUGACGGUACCUGCAGAAGAAGCGCCGGCUAACUACGUG
rnacentral:rRNA from 1 species